CAAUUAAAAAAGGAGUUUAAAUUGUUUUUUAUAAUAUAAACACCAAAAGUAAAAAUGCCAGGGGCUUCAAUACUUGCUGUAAUGGAUGAAGAAAUAAAUCAGCGGUCUACUGAAAAAAUUCGUCGCCGGACAUUGAGGAACGCAUCAGAUCCUUUAUCUCACUCAAAUGCAGAAUUUAUAACUUAUUAUCGGCUAAAUAAAGAAGCUUUUGUUUUAGUUUUGGAAAAAAUUUCUCCCCACCUCAAACGUUCCAAUAUACCGGCUAUUAUCCAGCUUGCAACAAAGCUUAGGUUUUUGGCUACGGGUGCAUUUCAAGGAGUUAUAGGUAGAGAUGUGAAGCUAAGCCUUGGGAGAAGUACAGUUUCUACAAUUAUGUGGAGAAUUAUUAAUGCAAUUGAAGCUGAAAUUUGUCCACAUUGGAUCAAAUUAAGAAUGUCUUCCGAAUUCUUCUUCAACACAUAUGGCAAUAAUUCAACUAUACAAGUCUGCCGUUCAUUUCUGCAUAUUUUUUUGCGUUUUCAUCAUGGAUUAGAAAAAUAAUAGAUUUUUUGUAAAAUAAAUUCCAAAAACAUGUUCAUUCUAAGAGAAUUUGGUUAAUACAAUAUUUUCUGUUAAAUGUA